CUCUGCGCGUCUGCAACAGUUCGUCAUGGUAGAGGUCGUUAACACUGCGCUACUGGACAAGUUUCACUUCCUCCGUCCACGCAAGACGCUCACCAUGAUCGGAAUAAGCGUCGUCAUGUUCAUGCUAGGUCUGCCCAUGUGCGCCAAGGGAGGCAUCUACCUACACCAGCUUGUCGAAUCACGAUGGCGUCCGCUGGUCUUCAUCUUCAAUCCGGCAUCAUUUGAGGCUAGAUUCGCAAUCUCCAUGCU